UGGGGAAUAUUGCACAAUGGGGGAAACCCUGAUGCAGCGACGCCGCGUGAGUGAAGAAGUAUUUCGGUAUGUAAAGCUCUAUCAGCAGGGAAGAUAAUGACGGUACCUGACUAAGAAGCCCCGGCUAACUACGUGCCAGCAGCCGCGGUAAUACGUAGGGGGCAAGCGUUAUCCGGAUUUACUGGGUGUAAAGGGUGCGUAGGUGGCAAGGCAAGUCAGAUGUGAAAGCCCGGGGCUCAACCCCGGUACUGCAUUUGAAACUGUCUAGCUAGAGUGCAGGAGAGGUAAGCGGAAUUCCUAGUGUAGCGGUGAAAUGCGUAGAUAUUAGGAGGAACACCAGUGGCGAAGGCGGCUUACUGGACUGUAACUGACACUGAGGCACGAAAGCGUGGGGAGCAAACA
rnacentral:rRNA from 1 species